rnacentral:rRNA from 1 species
UACGUAGGGUGCAAGCGUUAAUCGGAAUACUGGGCGUAAAGCGUGCGCAGGCGGUUUGGUAAGACAGAUGUGAAAUCCCCCGGGCUUAACCUGGGAAUUGCAUUUGUGACUGCCCGGCUAGAGUGUGUCAGAGGGGGGUAGAAUUCCACGUGUAGCAGUGAAAUGCGUAGAGAUGUGGAGGAAUACCGAUGGCGGAAGGCAGCCCCCUGGGAUAAC